UACGUAGGCAGCGAGCGUUGUUCGGAGUACUGGGCGUAAAGGGUGUGUAGGCGGUUCUUUAAGUUUGGUGUGAAAUCUCCCGGCUCAACCGGGAGGGUGCGCCGAAUACUGAGGGACUCGAGUGCGGGAGAGGAAAGUGGAAUUCCUGGUGUAGCGGUGAAAUGCGUAGAUAUCAGGAGGAACACCGGUGGUGUAGACGGCUUUCUGGACCGUAACUGACGCUGAGACACGAAAGCGUGGGUAGCAAACAGG
rnacentral:rRNA from 1 species